CCCUCUCACAAAGAGGGAGCUUUCCCAGAAUCUGAGAAUUGUGGUCCUAGCUAGCUUGGCUGGUUUUCUUACUUUUGUCCUGGAAAGCAGGGUUAUCUGUUGUCUCUUCUGAGCAGAGCACUGCAGCAGAUGGAUUCCACAUCAGGAAGGAGAGUGUGCUGAGCCAGCAGCUGAAGGCUGAAAAAGAAAGCUGUCCAAAGUAAGAUAUGGCCCAGGGGUUGAAAUUGGCAUGAGGGCACACUGGCAAGAUUGGGCACUGUGCCCACCAGCUACUUGGCAAGUCUACCUCCCUAUGGUGUGCUGACUAAAUAGGGCCCUUUGUCCCACGAGGAGGAGAGCUGUUAACCCCAUGGGAGCGUUUGGCUUCCCUAAUAAGGCCUUUUCUCCCUCCCCCUACUAUCCAGCAUGUACAAUAGACCAACUGUAUUACUCGACUACAAUUAGAAGUAGAAUUUCAGAGUUGGCAGAUAUCCAAAAUACCACCUGGUACAACUGUCUCAUUUUACAGGCAAAAGAAUGUGUCAAAGAAGAUUGCCAAUUGAGCUAGGAAGAGCUGCCCACUCUUUGCAAUGCAAGAAGAGAAGGAUCUGGUCCCUUCUAAAGCAGCCUCUUUGUUGGGGUACAACCAACAUCAGCUCUCCUUUGGACUUCUAUGGGGGAGUGAAGGACUUUUCUCUCCUGCCCUAACCUAGCAUCAAUGACAACCCACAGCUUAAACACAUUACAAUAGUGACUAAUACACUUGCUUGUCUAAGUAAGCCUGAAACAGAACUUCAGGGUUACCUCUGGAUAGCUGCCUUUUCUGUUUUGCAUUUCUUUUCCUAAGUAUCAGUUCCUGAAAAGCGAUCCUGAGAAAUAGAGGUUUCCAGUUUUCAUGGCUACCAUUUGAGUUUGAGAGGUAAGGAUUCACUGAAUUGGACUACCCAGUUUGGGGUGCUCCCUCCUUGGAGAAGAUGACCACGACUAGGAAGAUGAAUCACACAUGCCUGGUUGGCCAGAAGAUAUGAACCUUGAAUUGCCACUCAUAGUACAGAUCUAACGUGAAUAUUGAAAUAACUAUUCAGCAGCUGGGAGUUUUUAAUGCCUGGAAGAGUUAAAUAGAAAUGAGGCAUUAUAGUGUAUGUUUUAAAUAUGUGUUAGUACACAUGUAUAAGUCUUAUAGUGCAAAUUCUAAAUAUUUGUAAGUGAGUGCUUAUAGUUCUUUGUGUUUUAAGCAUUUCUUUUGUUGUAGAGGAAAUAGAUUCCUGCUACCCACUGCUUUGUACAUUUAAACAACUUUUCUAAAAAGGACCAUACUAGUCCCUUUGGGGGAAACUCUAGAUAAAAGACAUAUCUAAGUUUUUCUAAAAAGAGAUUUUUUUCCCCAUAGGGCUCCCAGUUGGGGUCAUAAUGUGAGUGUGAAAAAAACCCCAAUCCCUCCUUUUUUGGAGUCAGGCUCACCCAAGACUGAAUCUGGUUUGCUGGAGUCCAGAGUCAGAGUCUUAUAUGUUAGAGGAGUGUGACACAAUAUAAUAAGUUGGUUUCCAAAAGAUCUUCAAUUUUAAAAGAAUUGAAGUAAGUCUAGAGCAAUUAUGGAUAAUUAUUUUAAAUUUUAAAGAAUUAAAGUUAAUUAUCUUUGAUUUUUCUUUCUAAUUAAAAAACAAAGGUUUACUGAUAUCUUUUGUUUUUACAUUGCAUUAAUUCCCCCUUGUAUUCCUCCCCUUGUCCCUCCUGUGCCUAAUUUUAAGAAAGUGAAAUAAGAUCUCUUUGUGAUGGGCUUUACCUUGGGGCUCUGCUAAUCCUGAUUAGUGAAUAACCCUAAUAUGGCCCAUUAUAUCAGGCUGGCUGCUUCAGACCUACUUCACUUUAUUUCCUUAUCAUCUCUUCAUCAGUCAUUUUGCUGCCUAGACCUACACAAUUUAACCUUUGCAGCUCCAAGUCUCCCUCCCUGGGGCCCCUGAGGUCCUAACUGGUGACUAUCUCAGCUGCUUCAGCAAUGCCUCAUUUUACUCCCCAGUCAAUGCCUUGCAAGCUACUUUGCUACCACUGGCACUUCUUGGUUUACCCCUUCCUCUCCCUCUCCUCACUUUCCAGUUGUGGAGCUAUAAUCAAAACAAUACUGCCACUGCCACUGAUAAGGGUGUGCACACAUAGCUUCCUCAUGACUCCCCUCACUACCCUUUUAACUCUUUAAAACAAAAUACCCCUUUCUGACCAAUAGUCCCUUAUAUGUACUGAUGCCUCCAUUAGAGUGUAGGCUCUUUGAGAGCAGGCAUGGACUUUUGUUUCUUAGCACAGUGCUUGGUACAUGAUAAAUAUUUAAAGCUUUUUUAUUCAUUCAUAAAGACAUAACCAGUUUGAGAAAAUCUGCAAGUUGAAACUAAUAAAAGUAUCCCGGAGUUUUAGGGUCAACAUGGAGCCUAUAUGGAUGAUCACUUCAUCCUGCUACAUGACUCAUUGCCAUAUUCAUUCUCUCAUCCUGGGUUAUAUGAUAAUUAGGGAGAAUAUUCUGCUAUUUUCAUAUCAAUUGCUAAAAUUGCAAUUAAUUAGCUCUGAGGCCCCAUCUUAGUGCAUUAAAUAUUGUUUGUUUAACAAACUAGAGAAAUCCUUUUGCCUAUGAGCAUUACUCAUCUCGCUAUAUACAUAAAAAAAGUUUUAAACACUAAAGUUACUGCUGAUGUAAGUGAUUAACAGUAUAAUGUACAAUAAA